AUAACCAAAUCAUUGAGUCUGACCACCCGGUUCAUUAAGUCACCUCUAAUAACCAAGUCAUUGAACCUGACCACCCGGUUCAUUCAGUCACCUCUAACAACCAAAUCCUUGAGUCUGACCUCCCGGUUCAUUAAGCCACCUCUAACAACCAAAUCAUUGAGUCUAACCACCCGGUUCAUUAAGUCACCUCUAAUAACCAAAUCAUCGAAUUUGACCACGUGGUUCAUGAAGUCACCUCUAACAACCAAAUCAUUUAGUUUGACCUACCGGUUCAUUAAGUCACCUCCAACAACCAAAUCAUUGAGUCGGACCUCCCGGUUCAUUAAGUCACCUCUAACAACCAAAUCAUCGAGUCUGACCGCGUGGUUCAUUAAGUCACCUCUAAUAACCAAAUCAUUGAGUCUGACCACCCGGUUCAUUAAGUCACCUCUAAUAACCAAGUCAUCGAGUCUGACCACGUGGUUCAUGAAGUCACCUCAAAGAACCAAAUCAUUUAGUUUGACCUACCGGUUCAUUAAGCCUCCUCUAACAACCAAAUCUUGAGUCUGACCACCCAGAUCAUUAAGUCACCUCUAACAACUAUGUGUCUAGAUUGCAUAUGUGACACUAGAUUGCAUUUCUGACAUAAGACAGCAUACGUAACGGUAAACUGCAUAUGUGUCGGGGAAGGGGGCCGGGGGAGGAAUGAGACCGACAUAAGGACCAGCAGGGAGAUUAUUUUGGAAACUUAAAAUUAAUUCUACGAUAAAUUA